rnacentral:rRNA from 1 species
UGCCAGCAGCCGCGGUAAUACGGAGGGGGCGAGCGUUGUUCGGAAUUAUUGGGCGUAAAGGGCGUGUAGGCGGCUUGGCAAGUCGGAGGUGAAAUCCCUCGGCUCAACCGAGGAAUUGCCCCCGAUACUGCCGGGCUUGAGUCCCGGAGAGGGUAGCGGAAUUCCCAGUGUAGCGGUGAAAUGCGUAGAUACUGGGAGGAACACCCGUGGCGAAAGCGGCUCACUGGAUCUCUUCUGACGCUGAGGAACGAAAGCUAGGGUAGCGAACGGGAUUAGAUA